UUAGAUUCGAAGAGUCCGCUAACAUAUUCCAUUCACUAAUGAUCUUUUUCCGAGGUGAACCUGCGAAGGGAUCAUUA
rnacentral:rRNA from 1 species